rnacentral:lncRNA from 1 species
CGGCCGCCCGCGCAGGCGCCCCCCAGGGGGUCCCCGGCCCCACCGCCCGCGGCGCUCUCCACUUUGAUGAGGCGGUGCUUGGGGGAGAUGUAGCGCACCUCGGCCGGCGUGGCGGGCCGCCGCUCGCUGCUGCUGCGGUAGAGAUGCGGAGAGCCGGAGGACGAGGACGAGGACGCGGCGGCCCCCGCGCCCGAGGAGGCGCAGCAACAGCCCGCGGCGCCCGACGCGGACGAGGCCGAGAAGGCGCGCUGGACCCCGCCUGGCUCCCCGCUGCCGCCGCAGUAGUCCAGGCGGCACAUGGCGCGCAGUUUGCGCAGCGACGAGCCAGGCCCGUUGUAGGGGUCCUCGAAGUCUCGCUCCUUCUGCGCGCGGUAGGCGCGGAUGAGGUCGCUGGUGCUGCCGCUGUCGUCGGGCAGCGAGCCCGAAGAGGCUGAGAAGCAGGAGGCGGUGGCCGGACCGCAGGACGCCGAGGCGGCGGAGGAGGCCUGCGGCACGGCCUGGGGGGGCUGCGAAGGCCGCUCGCCUCGGCGCCGCUGCUCGCGGUAGUCUGGCCGCGGCGGCUGCGGGGGGCUCUUGGUCUUGCUGUUGCCCAAGCUGAAGUACUUGUUUAGCCACUUGGCCAUGGCGAGAGGCCGCCUAGGGCCGCGGCGCGGGAGCCCGGUCCGCCGCCGCGGCCAUUCGGGGGGCAGCGCUGCG